CAAGGAGAAUGUGAAACCCAAGGGUCCACCUGCCUCCUCUCCAGCCUGGCCCAGAAAGCACCUUUGAAAGGGCCACGAUGGAAUGGCUGUGCUGGUGCCAACAUUCACCAGGCGUGGAGACUCGUGUCAAAUGGGCAUAGCCCUGAGAGUGCCCAUGUGGACUUGGACACAGGGAAAGGGCCUGCCCCUGCCUGCCUUUGGAGGCCACCAGCCAGCACCUCCAUCAUCACGAUGACCUCACUUGGCAUCUCUGGGACCCGUAGGGUGUCCCCUCCAACCCCCCACUGUCAUCCCAUGAUGAGCUGCACCUACGUGAAGUGAAGGAACCCCACAUGGCCCCCAGUGCCCCACCAUGAUGGAAGCCCACACAGACGGCUUCCAUGCCUUGCUGACUGCACUGGGGCUCCCAGAGGACUGCCUCCCGAUUAACUGCCUCACCUGUUUAUCCUCUGAGCACCCCCGGCUGCAGGAUCGUGGCUCCCAGGGCCCCCUGGGGGGAACACUAAUCUGCCCCCUCUGAGUCCUGGGUUCCACAUCCCUCGUGCAUCUGCAGAAAGAAACUCCUCUGUCAAGGAUGUCAGGUGCCUGCUGUAUUGAAG
rnacentral:lncRNA from 1 species